rnacentral:lncRNA from 10 species
AAAAAUAUAAAGCUAAUUAGGUUUUAAAACUUCAAAGGAGAGCACUAAAUUCAUGGAAAUAAAUGCUAUCCCUUCUAAUUCAGGAGAAGAAAAAAGAAAACUACCUUAUCAAUACAACAAGAAGUCAGGAAAAGAGAGACAGGAUUUCACCAUGUUGCCCAGAUGAUCUAGAACUUCUGAGAUCAAGCAGUCCACCCACUUUGGCCUCCCAAAGUGCUGAGAUUACAGGGAGAGAGAAGUGGAGUAAGAUGGCUAAAUAGAACCCUCCAGUGUUUGACACUUCCUGCAGGAACACCACAUUUUACAACUAUCCAUGCAAGAAAGCACCUUCAUAAAAAAA